GAAUAUUGGACAAUGGGCGAAAGCCUGAUCCAGCCAUGCCGCGUGAGUGAUGAAGGCCUUCGGGUCGUAAAGCUCUGUGGGGAGGGGACGGAAAAAGACGUGACCUAAUACGUCUCGCCUUGACGGUACCUCCUUUAGCAAGCACCGGCUAACUCCGUGCCAGCAGCCGCGGUAAUACGGAGGGUGCAAACGUUGCUCGGAAUUAUUGGGCGUAAAGCGCACGUAGGCGGUCCGCUAAGUCGGAUGUGAAAGCCCUCGGCUUAACCGAGGAAGUGCAUCCGAAACUGACGGGCUAGAGUACGGAAGAGGGUUUCGGAAUUCCCGGUGUAGAGGUGAAAUUCGUAGAUAUCGGGAGGGAACACCAGUGGCGAAGGCGGAAACCUGGGCCGAUACUGACGCUGAGGUGCGAAAGCGUGGGGAGCAAAACAGGAUUAGAUACCCUGGUAGUCCAC
rnacentral:rRNA from 1 species